AUGCAUUAAGCAAUGACUAUGGCACAAGAGACAAUAUCACAUUCUGUCUAUUGAUAUUUGUUUGUUCCUUCGCCCCUUAAAAGUGU